ACAGGAAGAAGCUUGCAGUACAAAGAUAAAAAUCUAAAGUGGUUGCUGUGGAGGACAGGGGUCAGUGGUGGAAGUGAGACUGAAAUGGACUCUGAAGUAAUAUCUGGACUUUGAAAUUGUUGCCUGUUCACUCUGGCUAGUCAUAUGCAGAAAACUGAAACUAGACCCCUUCCUGACACCUUAUAUAAAAAUUAACUCAAGAUGGAUUAAAGAUUUAAACGUAAGACCCAAAACCAGAAAAAUCCUAGAAGAAAACCUAGGCAAUACCAUUCAGGACAUAAGCAUGGGCAAAGACUUCAUGACUAAAACACCAAAAGCAAUGGCAGCAAAAGCCAAAAUUGACAAAAGGUUUCCUUAACGACAACAAAAAAGGGAGUAAUCCUACCUACUGUAAGAGUCAUGACUCUUGAUUGCAGCUGACAGAAGCUCAUGACAGCCUGGUUUAGAUAAAAGGGGAAAGGACGACUGGAAGAAUCUUGGAGUUGGGAAUAUGGCACAUAAUUGAAGGAAGAGCAAUAAAACUAUAAUUCUUCCCGUGGAGACUGGAGUUUCCAGGAUGUGAAAAUUACCUCUGCUUGGGUGAGCUAUUCCAAGCAGCUGGGAUACCUGUGUCACUCCUGCUGUCUGCCAGUGACUGCCCAGCUUCUCAGAUGACCAAGAUGGUGCUGCCGAUGGUGUUGAGGACGGAGAACCCACCAAGCCC
rnacentral:lncRNA from 1 species